CUGGCGGCGUGCCUAAUACUGCAAGUCGAACGAGUUUGCUUUUAAUGAAGGCGGUGCUUGCACCAACUGAUUUAAAAAUAAACGAGUGGCGGACGGGUGAGUAACACGUGGGUAACCUACCCUAGAGUGGGGGAUAACAUUUGGAAACAGAUGCUAAUACCGCAUAAUAUUAAAAACCACAUGGUUUUUAAUUGAAAGACGGCGUAAGCUGUCACUUUUGGAUGGACCCGUGGCGUAUUAGCUAGUUGGUGAGGUAACGGCUCACCAAGGCGAUGAUACGUAGCCGACCUGAGAGGGUGAUCGGCCACAUUGGGACUGAGACACGGCCCAAACUCCUACGGGAGGCAGCAGUAGGGAAUCUUCCACAAUGGACGAAAGUCUGAUGGAGCAACGCCGCGUGAGUGAAGAAGGUUUUCGGAUCGUAAAACUCUGUUAUUGGAGAAGAACGUAUUUGGUAGUAACCGGCCAGAUAGUGACGGUAUCCAAUCAGAAAGCCACGGCUAACUACGUGCCAGCAGCCGCGGUAAUACGUAGGUGGCAAGCGUUGUCCGGAUUUAUUGGGCGUAAAGCGAGUGCAGGCGGUUUUUUAAGUCUGAUGUGAAAGCCUUCGGCUUAACCGAAGAAAUGCAUUGGAAACUGGGAAACUUGAGUGCAGAAGAGGAGAGUGGAACUCCAUGUGUAGCGGUGAAAUGCGUAGAUAUAUGGAAGAACACCAGUGGCGAAGGCGGCUCUCUGGUCUGUAACUGACGCUGAGGCUCGAAAGCGUGGGUAGCAAACAGGAUUAGAUACCCUGGUAGUCCACGCCGUAAACGAUGAGUGCUAAGUGUUGGAGGGUUUCCGCCCUUCAGUGCUGCAGCUAACGCAUUAAGCACUCCGCCUGGGGAGUACGACCGCA
rnacentral:rRNA from 1 species